GCAGGGGUCACACAUGGCCAUGUGGCAAGGCCGUGUAACUUACACGGCCAAGAGACAUACCCAUCUCUUAAGCUGUAUGGGAAUUCAAAAUGGGGACACACAACCAUGUCCUAACCCAUGUCCGUGCCCAUGUAACUCACUGACUUGGGCCUCAUGGCCAAGCCACAUGACCAUGUGCUAGGCCGUGUACCCUUCGAAGUAACCUCAAAC
rnacentral:lncRNA from 1 species